AACGUAGGAGACAAACGUUAUCCGGAGUUACUGGGCGUAAAGGGCGUGUAGGUGGUUUUGUAAGUCUGGCGUGAAAUUUUUCGGCUUAACCGGGAAAGGUCGUCGGAUACUGCAAGGCUAGAGGACGGUAGAGGCGUGUGGAAUUCCGGGUGUAGUGGUGAAAUGCGUAGAGAUCCGGAGGAACACCAGUGGCGAAGGCGACACGCUGGGCCGGUACUGACGCUGAGACGCGAAAGCGUGGGGAGCAAACAGG
rnacentral:rRNA from 1 species